rnacentral:rRNA from 1 species
AUACGGAGGAUGCAAGCGUUAUCCGGAUUUAUUGGGUUUAAAGGGUGCGUAGGCGGUUUGCUAAGCGGGAGGUGAAAUGCCGGCGCUCAACGUCGGAAGUGCCUCCCGAACUGGUGGACUUGAAUGACUCUGCCGUGGGAGGAAUGUGUAGUGUAGCGGUGAAAUGCUUAGAGAUUACACAGAACACCGAUUGCGAAGGCAUCUCACGAAGGGUUGAUUGACGCUGAGGCACGAAAGCGUGGGGAUCAAACAGGAUUAGAUACCCUGGUAGUCCACGCAGUAAACGAUGAUUACUAGUUGUUUGCGAUACAAUGUAAGCGACUGAGCGAAAGCGUUAAGUAAUCCACCUGGGGAGUACGUUCGCAAGAAUGAAACUCAAAGGAAUUGACGGGG